GAUGAACGCUGGCGGCGUGCCUAAUACAUGCAAGUCGAGCGAACGGACGAGAAGCUUGCUUCUCUGAUGUUAGCGGCGGACGGGUGAGUAACACGUGGAUAACCUACCUAUAAGACUGGGAUAACUUCGGGAAACCGGAGCUAAUACCGGAUAAUUUUUUGAACCGCAUGGUUCAAAAGUGAAAGACGGUCUUGCUGUCACUUAUAGAUGGAUCCGCGCUGCAUUAGCUAGUUGGUAAGGUAACGGCUUACCAAGGCAACGAUGCAUAGCCGACCUGAGAGGGUGAUCGGCCACACUGGAACUGAGACACGGUCCAGACUCCUACGGGAGGCAGCAGUAGGGAAUCUUCCGCAAUGGGCGAAAGCCUGACGGAGCAACGCCGCGUGAGUGAUGAAGGUCUUCGGAUCGUAAAACUCUGUUAUUAGGGAAGAACAUAUGUGUAAGUAACUGUGCACAUCUUGACGGUACCUAAUCAGAAAGCCACGGCUAACUACGUG
rnacentral:rRNA from 1 species